rnacentral:rRNA from 1 species
AACGAACGCUGGCGGCAGGCCUAACACACGCAAGUCGAGCGAGGUUGCAAUACCUAGCGGCGGACGGGUGAGUAACGCGUGGGAACGUGCCCCUUGGUACGGAAUAGCCCCGGGAAACUGGGAGUAAUACCGUAUGAGCUCUACGGAGGAAAGAUUUAUCGCCAAGGGAUCGGCCCGCGUUGGAUUAGGUAGUUGGUGGGGUAAUGGCCUACCAAGCCGACGACCCAUAGCUGGUUUGAGAGGAUGAUCAGCCACAUUGGGACUGAGACACGGCCCAGACUCCUACGGGAGGCAGCAGUGGGGAAUCUUAGACAAUGGGCGCAAGCCUGAUCUAGCCAUGCCGCGUGAGCGAUGAAGGCCUUAGGGUUGUAAAGCUCUUUCAGCUGGGAAGAUAAUGACUGUACCAGCAGAAGAAGCCCCGGCUAACUCCGUGCCAGCCGCCGCCGUAAAAC